CUGCCAGUAGUCAUACGCUCGUCUCAAAGAUUAAGCCAUGCAUGUGUAAGUAUAAAUAAUUCUACUUUGAAACUGCGAAUGGCUCAUUAUAUCAGUUAUAGUUUAUUAGAAAUAGUGUACUACUUGGAUAACCGUAGUAAUUCUAGGGCUAAUACAUGAGUAAAUCCUCGACUUUUGAAGAGGUGUGUUUAUUAGUAUGAAAACCAUAUGCUUUUGCAUGAUAGUGAGUAAUAAUAACCUUUCAUAUCGCCUGUUUUAAAUAGCGAUAGUUCUUUCAAGUUUCUGCCCUAUCAGCUUUCGAUGGUAGUGUAUUGGACUACCAUGGCAGUAACGGGUAACGAAGAAUUUGGGUUCGAUUUCGGAGAGGGAGCCUGAGAGAUGGCUACCACAUCCAAGGAAGGCAGCAGGCGCGUAAAUUACCCAAUCCUGACAUAGGGAGGUAGUGACAAUAAAUCACAAUGCGGGACUAUUUAGUUUUGCAAUUGAAUUGAGAACAAUGUACAAGAGUUAUCGAUAAACAAUUGGAGGGCAAGUCUGGUGCCAGCAGCCGCGGUA
rnacentral:rRNA from 1 species